rnacentral:ncRNA from 1 species
CUCGCCGAGGGGCGCUGCGACCGUGAACGUGUACGGCCAGGCUCGGCGCGGUGUCCUGUGAACGGCGCCCGUAAUCG